rnacentral:sRNA from 1 species
GCCAGGCAUGGUGGCGCACGCCUGAAAUCCCAGCAGCUUGGGAGGCUGAGGCAGGAGGAUCGAGAGUCAAAGCCGUGAGGCUCUGAGCAACUCAGUGAGACUUUGUCUCUG